rnacentral:rRNA from 1 species
GACGAACGCUGGCGGCGUGCUUAAUACAUGCAAGUCGAGCGAGAAGCCACCACUCCGUAAGGAGUGGUGGUGGAAAGCGGCGAACGGGUGAGUAACACGUGGGUAACGUGCCCCGAACACUGGGAUAACGGCGGGAAACCGCCGCUAAUACCGGAUAACCCUGCAGCGUCGCAUGAUGCAGCAGGCAAAGCUCCGACGGUUCGGGAUCGGCCCGCGGCGUAUCAGCUUGUUGGUGGGGUAACGGCCUACCAAGGCAGUGACGCGUAGCUGGCGUGAGAGCGCGACCAGCCACACUGGGACUGAGACACGGCCCAGACUCCUACGGGAGGCAGCAGUAGGGAAUCUUGCGCAAUGGGCGAAAGCCUGACGCAGCGACGCCGCGUGAGGGAUGAAGGCCUUCGGGUUGUAAACCUCUUUCAGCGGGGACGAAGCCUCACGGUGACGGUACCCGCAGAAGAAGGUCCGGCCAACUACGUGCCAGCAGCCGCAGUAA